UUAAAGCUAGCCUAUAAUAUUAAUUCAACUAGACCUUAUAAAUCUAAUAUAUAUAUUACAAUUUUUAAUCAAAACAUUCUCAACCUUCUAGUAUGGGUGACAGAACAAUAACCUCAGCGCAAUAGCUUAUGUACCGCAAGGGAAAGCUGAAAAAGAAAUGAAACAAAUCAUUAAAGUACUAAAAAGCAGAGAUUAUACCUCGUACCUUUUGCAUCAUGAUUUAGCUAGAAAAACUAGGCAAAAAGACCUUAAGUCUAUCUCCCCGAAACUAAACGAGCUACUCCGAAGCAGCAUUACAAGAGCCAACCCGUCUCUGUGGCAAAAGAGUGGGAAGACUUCCGAGUAGCGGUGAAAAGCCUACCGAGUUUAGUGAUAGCUGGUUACCCAAGAAAAGAACUUCAGUUCUGCAUUAAUUUUUCACUAUCUAAACAAGACUUACUCGUCAAAGAAAUCUAUAAGAAUUAAUAGUUAUUUAGAAGAGGUACAACCCUUCUAAACCAAGACACAACUUUUUAAGGUGGGAAAUGAUCAUAAUUAUUAAGGUUACCAUCUCAGUGGGCCUAAAAGCAGCCAUCUGUCAAGUAAGCGUCGCAGCUCUAAUCUAAUAAUUAAACCUCUAAUUCAGAUAUCCAUUCAUAACCCCCUUUAUCCUAUUGGGUUAUUUUAUAUUUAUAUAAAAGAACUUAUGCUAAAAUGAGUAAUAAAGAGAACAAAUCUCUCCCGACACAAGUGUAUGUCAGAAAGAAUUAAAUCACUGAUAAUUAAACGACCCCAAACUGAGGUCAUUAUAUUACUUAAUCAUUAACUAGAAAAUCCUAUUCUCUUACCCGUUAUCCCUACACAGGAGUGUCAUCAGGAAAGA
rnacentral:rRNA from 1 species